rnacentral:rRNA from 1 species
UGACCUCGGAUCAGGUAGGGAUACCCGCUGAACUUAAGCAUAUCAAUAAGCGGAGGAAAAGAAACCAACAGGGAUUGCCUCAGUAACGGCGAGUGAAGCGGCAAGAGCUCAAAUUUGAAAGCUGGCUCCUUCGGGGUCCGCAUUGUAAUUUGCAGAGGAUGCUUCGGGAGCGGCCCCCAUCUAAGUGCCCUGGAACGGGCUGUCAUAGAGGGUGAAAUCCCGUAUGGGAUGGGGUGCCCGCG